GGAGGACCGAGGAGGUUGGGGAGUAGUAGGAGUAGUAUGAGUAGAACGAUGAGUAGAAGCAGAAGCAGAGCAAGUUGGAUGGUAGAAGAUGUGUUCAAUCCAAUGCCGAGUAGAAGAAGUACUCGUGGAGAAGAAGAUGAAGAAGCACUCACGUGGGCUGCGUUAGAGAGAUUGCCGACUUACGAUCGAUUGAGAAAGACGGUGCUUAAAUCGUUCGCCG
rnacentral:misc_RNA from 1 species